rnacentral:rRNA from 1 species
CAGUAGACGCGGUAGUACGUAGGUGGCAAGCGUUGUCCGGAAUUAUUGGGCGUAAAGGGCUCGCAGGCGGUUUCUUAAGUCUGAUGUGAAAGCCCCCGGCUCAACCGGGGAGGGUCAUUGGAAACUGGGAAACUUGAGUGCAGAAGAGGGGAGUGGAAUUCCACGUGUAGCGGUGAAAUGCGUAGAGAUGUGGAGGAACACCAGUGGCGAAGGCGACUCUCUGGUCUGUAACUGACGCUGAGGAGCGAAAGCGUGGGGAGCGAACAGGAUUAGAUACCCCUGUAGUCCCUGUCUCUUAUAC